UCACGAAGAACUCCAAUUGNGAAGGCAGCUUACUAGGCUACAACUGACGCUGAAGCACGAAAGCGUGGGGAUCAAACAGGAUUAGAUANNNGGUAGNCCACGCAGUAAACGAUGAUAACUAGCUGUUUGCGAUACACAGUAAGCGGCACAGCGAAAGCGUUAAGUUAUCCACCUGGGGAGUACGCCGGCAACGGUGAAACUCAAAGGAAUUGACGGGGGCCCGCACAAGCGGAGGAACAUGUGGUUUAAUUCGAUGAUACGCGAGGAACCUUACCCGGGCUUGAACGUAGGGAGACAGUUCUGGAAACAGAAUCUCUAGCAAUAGCUGCCUACGAGGUGCUGCAUGGUUGUCGUCAGCUCGUGCCGUGAGGUGUCGGCUUAAGUGCCAUAACGAGCGCAACCCACAUCGAUAGUUACUAACAGGUUAAGCUGAGGACUCUAUCGAGACUGCCAGCGUAAGCUGUGAGGAAGGUGUGGAUGACGUCAAAUCAGCACGGCCCUUACGUCCGGGGCGACACACGUGUUACAAUGGGAGGUACAAAGGGCAGCUACCUGGCGACAGGAUGCUAAUCUCUAAAACCUUUCUCAGUUCGGAUUGGAGUCUGCAACCCGACUCCAUGAAGCUGGAUUCGCUAGUAAUCGCGCAUCAGCCACGGCGCGGUGAAUACGUUCCCGGGCCUUGUACACACCGCCCGUCAAGCCAUGGGAGCCGGGGGGACCUGAAGUAUGCAACCGUAAGGAGCGUCCUAGGGUAAAACUGGUGACUGGGGCU
rnacentral:rRNA from 1 species